AGAGUUUGAUCCUGGCUCAGGACGAACGCUGGCGGCGUGCCUAAUACAUGCAAGUAGAACGCUGACUACUUUAGCUUGCUAGAGUAGAAGGAGUUGCGAACGGGUGAGUAACGCGUAGGUAACCUGCCUACUAGCGGGGGAUAACUAUUGGAAACGAUAGCUAAUACCGCAUAACAGUGUUUAACACAUGUUAGAUGCUUGAAAGAUGCAAUUGCAUCACUAGUAGAUGGACCUGCGUUGUAUUAGCUAGUUGGUGGGGUAACGGCCCACCAAGGCGACGAUACAUAGCCGACCUGAGAGGGUGAUCGGCCACACUGGGACUGAGACACGGCCCAGACUCCUACGGGAGGCAGCAGUAGGGAAUCUUCGGCAAUGGGGGCAACCCUGACCGAGCAACGCCGCGUGAGUGAAGAAGGUUUUCGGAUCGUAAAGCUCUGUUGUAAGAGAAGAACGUGUGUGAGAGUGGAAAGUUCACACAGUGACGGUAACUUACCAGAAAGGGACGGCUAACUACGUGCCAGCAGCCGCGGU
rnacentral:rRNA from 1 species